AAUGCAAAGGGACUAUACUAAGCAUACCAAAUCCGACCCAAACAACUAUGGACAGACCUAAAACAUGGCAAAAUGAGCACAAAACCUUCACAAGGCUAAACCUAAAACAUGCUAGAGCAAAGGCUAACAACCUAAGGCAUAUUAAGGCAAUAACAAGGCAUUACAUGGUAGGUAUGCUAAGUAUGCAUGGUGUACCAAAACCAAAACACAACAAGGUUAUAUCAUGGCAUAAUAAGCAUGGAAAACAGCCAAGAUUUGAUCAAUACACACUCUAACAUGAUGCUCCCUCAAGAGGCCAAAAAUGGUCCAUUUCAAGGACAAUAAGGAGAGGGGGUGGCCCUCUCCUUCUUGGGACCUCAAGGCACCACC
rnacentral:sRNA from 1 species